UACAGAGGGUGCGAGCGUUGUCCGGAAUCACUGGGCGUAAAGGCGCGUAGGGUGGCCCGACAAGUCUGUGGUGAAAGCUCGAUGCUCAACAUCGAGUCGGCCAUAGAUACUGUUGGGCUGGAGCACUGUAGAGGCAGAUGGAAUUCCGGGUGUAGCGGUGGAAUGCGUAGAGAUCCGGAAGAACACCGGUGGCGAAGGCGGUCUGCUGGGCAGUAGCUGACACUGAGGCGCGACAGCGUGGGGAGCAAACAGG
rnacentral:rRNA from 1 species